ACGGGAAUGAAAUGUUUUUUCGGAAUAAAAAGUAGUUUAUGUUAUCCAAAUAUCUUUAUUCAAAAAUCACGCCAGUAAGUAUUUUCUGGUAAAAAAGUUGAAGACAGACACAAAAAAAAAGAUACGGAUAUACUUCGCACGAUGGGUGCGCCACGUUAUAGGUGGGAUAAUAGAAAGAUAGAAUACAGACGGGCAUUUAAUGUAUACCU